AUUGAACGCUAGCGGGAUGCCUAACACAUGCAAGUCGAACGAGUCGCGGACGGGUGAGCAAUGUAUCGGAACGUGCCCAGUAGCGGGGGACAACUACUCGAAAGAGUGGCCAAUACCGCAUACAUUUGCAGCGGCCGAUAUCGGAUUGGCUUGUUGGAGGGGUAAAGGCACACCAAGGCAACGAUCCGUAGCGGGUUUGAGAGGAGGACCAGCCACACUGGGACUGAGACACGGCCCAGACUCCUACGGGAGGCAGCAGUGGGGAAUUUUGGACAAUGGGGGAAACCCUGAUCCAGCCAUCCCGCGUGUGUGAGAAGGCCUUCGGGUUGUAAAGUACUUUUGGCAGGGAAGCGGUAUCUACAGAAUAAGCACCGGCUAACUACGUGCCAGCAGCCGCGGUAAUUC
rnacentral:rRNA from 1 species